CCCUUAGAUGUUCUGGGCUGCACGCGCGCUACACUGAAGCGUUCAACGAGCUUAUAACCUUGGCCGAAAGGUCUGGGUAAUCUCCAAAUUUCGUCGUGAUGGGGAUAGAUUAUUGCAAUUAUUAAUCUUCAACGAGGAAUGCCUAGUAAGCGCAAGUCAUCAGCUUGCGUUGAUUACGUCCCUGCCCUUUGUACACACCGCCCGUCGCUCCUACCGAUUGAAUGGUCCGGUGAAGCGUUCGGACCGUGGCCUUUGGACGGUUCGCCGUCUGUUGGCUGCGGGAAGUUCGUUAAACCUUAUCAUUUAGAGGAAGGAGAAGUCGUAACA
rnacentral:rRNA from 1 species